rnacentral:rRNA from 1 species
UACGGGGGGGGGCAAGCGUUGUUCGGAAUUACUGGGCGUAAAGGGCUUGUAGGUGGCCAACUAAGUCAGACGUGAAAUCCCUCGGCUUAACCGGGGAACUGCGUCUGAUACUGGAUGGCUUGAGUGUGGGAGAGGGAUGCAGAAUUCCAGGUGUAGCGGUGAAAUGCGUAGAUAUCUGGAGGAACACCUGAGGCGAAGGCGGCUCGCUGGACAGUUACUGACACUCAACUACGAAAGCGUGGGGAGCAAACAGG